rnacentral:rRNA from 1 species
AUGUAUAAGUAUAAACGCUUUAAGCGUGAAACCGCGAACGGCUCAUUACAACAGCUAUAAUUUACUUGAUCUUGACAAACUUACAUGGAUAACUGAGGUAAUUCUUGAGCUAAUACAUGCACCAAAGCUUUGACCGUAAGGGAAGAGCGCAUUUAUUAGAACAAAACCAAACGGCUUCGGCUGUUCCCAGUUGAAUCAGAAUAACUCAGCUGAUCGUACGGUCUUGCACCGACGACGUGUCUUUCAAGUAUCUGCUUUAUCAACUUUCGAUGGUAGGGUAUCUGCCUACCAUGGUGGUGACGGAUAACGGAGGAUCAGGGUUCGACUCCGGAGAAGGGGCCUGAGAAAUGGCCACUACGUCUAAGGAUGGCAGCAGGCGCGCAAAUUACCCACUCUCAGAAUUUGGAGGAGGUAGUGACGAGAAAUAACGAGGUUGAUCUCUUCUGAGGCCAACCAUCGGAAUGGGUACAAUUUAAACCCUUUAACGAGUAUCUAUGAGAGGGCAAGUCUGGUGCCAGCAGCCGCGGUAAUUCCAGCUCUCAAAAUGCAUAGAAUUAUUGCUGCGGUUAAAAAGCUCGUAGUUGGAUCUGCAGCCGGAGCUCUGGUCUAUCUUCGGAUAUGUACUGGAUGUCUUCGGCUUUCUGACAGUGUUCGGCUCUGUGCCUCUAACCAGGUGUGGAUGUCCUAUACUGUAAGUUUACUUUGAAUAAAUCAGAGUGCUCUAAACAGGCGUUUUGCUUGAAUGAUUGUGCAUGGAAUAAUAGAAGAGGAUUUCGGUUCUAUUUUAUUGGUUUUAUAGACUGAGAUAAUGGUUAACAGAGACAAACGGGGGCAUUUGUAUGGCUACGUGAGAGGUGAAAUUCUUGGACCGUAGCCAGACAAACUACAGCGAAAGCAUUUGCCAAGAAUGUCUUCAUUAAUCAAGAACGAAAGUCAGAGGUUCGAAGGCGAUCAGAUACCGCCCUAGUUCUGACCGUAAACGAUGCCAACUUGCGAUCCGUCGGUGUUAUUCUCAAAAUUGACCUGAUGGGGAGCAUCCCGGAAACGAAAGUCUUCCGGUUCCGGGGGAAGUAUGGUUGCAAAGCUGAAACUUAAAGGAAUUGACGGAAGGGCACCACAGGAGUGGAGCCUGCAGCUUAAUUUGACUCAACACGGGGAAACUCACCCGGCCCGGACACCGUGAGGAUUGACAGAUUGAUAGCUCUUUCAUGAUUCGGUGGAUGGUGGUGCAUGGCCGUUCUUAGUUCGUGGAGCGAUUUGUCUGGUUUAUUCCGAUAACGAGCGAGACUCUAGCCUACUAAAUAGUUUGUGCAUUGUCUCUGCGCAUAAAACUUCUUAGAGGGAUUCGCGAUGUUCAGUCGCAAGAAAUUGAGCAAUAACAGGUCUGUGAUGCCCUUAGAUGUCCGGGGCUGCACGCGCGCUACACUGGCGAACGCAACGUGCUUGUCCUUGGCCGAAAGGCCUUGGUAAACCAUUGAAAUUUUGCCGUGAUUGGGAUCGGAAAUUGCAAUUAUUUUCCGUGAACGAGGAAUUCCAAGUAAGUGCGGGUCAUCAACUCGCGUUGAUUACGUCCCUGCCCUCUGUACACACCGCCCGUCGCUGCCCGGGACUGAGACAUUUCGAGAAACUUGGGGACCGUUGAUUGAGUGGUUUUCGGAUCAUUCUUUUAGUGGAAACCAAUUUAAUCGCAGUGUCUUGAACCGGGC